AAGUCGUAACAAGGUUUCCGUAGGUGAACAUGCGGAAGGAUCAUUAACACGUAUCCAAACGUUAAAACACCCCCCGUGAACCUUCAUCCUGCUCUUGUAACCCGCGUAAUUCGCAAUCUCUGAUAAAUCAUAGCCCGGAGACCUCUGGCUACGUGCGAACAUUGGAACAGUUACAAUCGAGCGGUAGUUCUAUAGGCAAUGUUUCCCCAAGCAGUCAGUGUCGGAAAGUGUCAUUGAUUGUGCAAGGAUAGCGCUUCUACGAUUCCUGUAGAAUUUGCCAAAGGGUCCCCAUGCCCCCUAAUAACCCUACAGUUUAAUGUGAAGCUCAAUGUAAUACAUUGGGUAAAAAAACCGAACAACUGUUAACAAUGGAUAU
rnacentral:misc_RNA from 1 species